UCAUUUUAGGUUUUUCAUCAGUGUUGUAAAUAAUGGCAAAAAAUCAACGAUGCAUAUCAACGAAAAAUAAAAUUCAAAAUGAAGCGGAUGUCUGGCUGGUGUUUGUGUUACUUUGCUUUUUGUUGUUCUGUGAAUGAAACGCGCAAAUGGCUGUCUAAUGCUAUUAUUUACAAGAUGUUGAAGAUAAUAAUGGUGUAUAAAUUAAUUCAUUCAAAGUGGAAUAGUUGCUGACACAAUAUUCUAAAAUGGCUCUGUAUGCAGAUGAAAGUGUAAACUCAG